ensembl:lncRNA
CACCACCACCACCACCACCACCACCACCACCAACAUCACCACCACCACCACUACCACCACCUCCACCACCACCAUCACCACCACCACCACCACCAGCAUAACUACCACCAGCAUCACCACCACCACCACCACCACCACCACCACCACCACCACCACCACCACCACCACCACCACCACCACCACCACCACCCCCACCACCACCUCCACCACCACCAUCACCACCACCAACACCAGCAUCACCACCACCACCACCUCCACCACCACCACCACCACCACCACCACCACCACCACCACCACCACCGCCCACUCCUUGCCCCACCCUCAAUGCCAGAUGAGAGCGGGUCAUAUUAAGCAGUUCCUCCUGGCUGACGGAGGUUAUUAGAUCUGCGUUGUGCGGGGGCAGUGAGCGGCGGCGUCCUCCACUCCAGGCAGCGUCUAAACGGCUAAACCCAUUAGCCUCCCAACGACUGCACGCACAUCAGGGUGAAAAACAAAGAUGCAAUUAUUCUGACUUAUUAUGCGAUUCCGCCUCGGCCUCGACAAUAACUGUACUUUGCCAAGCAGGACAUGACCGGUUCCAAGAUUGAGGACCGUUUAAGGCCCUAAUGCAGUGAUCCUGUCGACUGGAAUAAAACGUCUGUUUAAAGGGCGGCCCACCGUACGGCCUCGGACCACAGCAACAGCGCCAUCUGUGGGCUAGUGUGGGAAUUACAGUUUGGAUUAAUGCUGUUCAUCUCGGAGCGGUCUCACUCGUACUAUAGACUCAUACUACGCAACACCUACACCGUGGAGCCCUCGUACCAUGGUAGUACUAGUGCUCUGUGCUAGUCCAUGAUCCUGGACUAGCACGAGGCUGCUGGCCAGAGGAGGCGGGGCCUGGUGUCCUGAUUGAUAUGUUGUUGAACCAAUAGGUGUUGGCCGUGGUUUGGCUGGUUGGUUAAAUGUUGUUCCUCCCUCAGGACAGUGACCUGGAGGCCAUGAUGAGGCAGAUGGAGAGGCUUCUGGACGGAGAGGCUGGAGUUACCAGGGCAACUGCCUCCAGUUAUGGAUCUGUUAGCACGGCAGACCAUAAUAGUCCCUUAUGACCCUGUUUCUAUGGAACUCUGUUGGAACAGCAGAGUAGAGAACAGUGAGACCUGGGCGGGGCUGUUCCAGAACCAUCUAGAUUCCAGCUGUGAGGCUGUUUCUCCUCCUACUCUUAUUUACAUGAAGGGGAUUAGUCUGCCGUCACAGGAUUGCAUCGCUGCAAACUUAUGUAACCAUGAAUGCAGAAGAAAACCUAGUGUAGUGAUGCAUUGUCUGUGUGUGUACGGCCGUACAUAUCCACGUGACGCCUCCGUUUGUUCGUCGUUCAGAUUCCUCGCUGAUAGGUUCAUGGUGCAUCGUGAGACCAUGGGACAUGGGGAGAGCUUAUCCCUCGUACGACGUCCUUCCUAACAUUCAUUACAGACUGUGUGUGUGUGUGUGUGUGUGUGUGUGUGUGUGUGUGUGUGUGUGUGUGUGUGUGUGUGUGUGUGUGUGUGUGUGUGUGUGUGUGUGUGUGUUGACCCUGGAGCACUGGUCCGUUCCAGUGAGGACCAGCUGAUAACAGAUCAGAUGGCCUCAUGAGACUCUCUGGCCCUCCAUCGAUUACUUCCUGUUCUAUUACAGUCCCGUUCUGCUGGAGUUCUAGAGAGAGAGAGAGAGAGAGAGAGGGGGAG